GACGAACGCUGGCGGCGUGCCUAAUACAUGCAAGUAGAACGCUGAAGAGAGGAGCUUGCUCUUCUUGGAUGAGUUGCGAACGGGUGAGUAACGCGUAGGUAACCUGCCUUGUAGCGGGGGAUAACUAUUGGAAACGAUAGCUAAUACCGCAUAACAAUGGAUGACACAUGUCAUUUAUUUGAAAGGGGCAAUUGCUCCACUACAAGAUGGACCUGCGUUGUAUUAGCUAGUAGGUGAGGUAACGGCUCACCUAGGCGACGAUACAUAGCCGACCUGAGAGGGUGAUCGGCCACACUGGGACUGAGACACGGCCCAGACUCCUACGGGAGGCAGCAGUAGGGAAUCUUCGGCAAUGGGGGCAACCCUGACCGAGCAACGCCGCGUGAGUGAAGAAGGUUUUCGGAUCGUAAAGCUCUGUUGUAAGUCAAGAACGAGUGUGAGAGUGGAAAGUUCACACUGUGACGGUAGCUUACCAGAAAGGGACGGCUAACUACGUGCCAGCAGCCGCGGUAAUACGUAGGUCCCGAGCGUUGUCCGGAUUUAUUGGGCGUAAAGCGAGCGCAGGCGGUUUGAUAAGUCUGAAGUUAAAGGCUGUGGCUCAACCAUAGUUCGCUUUGGAAACUGUCAAACUUGAGUGCAGAAGGGGAGAGUGGAAUUCCAUGUGUAGCGGUGAAAUGCGUAGAUAUAUGGAGGAACACCGGUGGCGAAAGCGGCUCUCUGGUCUGUAACUGACGCUGAGGCUCGAAAGCGUGGGGAGCGAACAGGAUUAGAUACCCUGGUAGUCCACGCCGUAAACGAUGAGUGCUAGGUGUUGGAUCCUUUCCGGGAUUCAGUGCCGCAGCUAACGCAUUAAGCACUCCGCCUGGGGAGUACGACCGCAAGGUUGAAACUCAAAGGAAUUGACGGGGGCCCGCACAAGCGGUGGAGCAUGUGGUUUAAUUCGAAGCAACGCGAAGAACCUUACCAGGUCUUGACAUCCCGAUGCUAUUUCUAGAGAUAGAAAGUUACUUCGGUACAUCGGUGACAGGUGGUGUAUGGUUGUCGUCAGCUCGUGUCGUGAGAUGUUGGGUUAAGUCCCGCAACGAGCGCAACCCCUAUUGUUAGUUGCCAUCAUUCAGUUGGGCACUCUAGCGAGACUGCCGGUAAUAAACCGGAGGAAGGUGGGGAUGACGUCAAAUCAUCAUGCCCCUUAUGACCUGGGCUACACACGUGCUACAAUGGUUGGUACAACGAGUUGCGAGUCGGUGACGGCAAGCUAAUCUCUUAAAGCCAAUCUCAGUUCGGAUUGUAGGCUGCAACUCGCCUACAUGAAGUCGGAAUCGCUAGUAAUCGCGGAUCAGCACGCCGCGGUGAAUACGUUCCCGGGCCU
rnacentral:rRNA from 1 species